rnacentral:sRNA from 1 species
UAUGCUCACUUAAGGGAAUCUUGGAGUCUUGGAGUCUUGCUCACCCCCUAUAGAAAGGGGGUGAUGCUUAUGUCAACAUUUCAGGCAUUAAUGUGAAUGCUUGAAUCGCCCUGUUGACGUAUAUAAAUAAAAAAUAGACCUCCCUUGAGCCUGAAAACCUGAAGGGUUAGGUCUAUCAUGAAUAACAUAACAUCUGAGCAAGCCCUUUGAUGGGG